rnacentral:lncRNA from 1 species
UGAGACGUAUCCUACUGUCUAGUCUGUCCAUAGUGAUUACAGUGAGAGGUAUCUCUACUGUCUAGUCUGUCCAUAGUGAUUACAGUGAGAGGUAUCCCUACUGUCCAGUCUGUCCAUAGUGAUUACAGUGAGAGGUAUCCUACUAUCUUAGUCUGUCCAUAGUGAUUACAGUGAGAGGUAUUCCUACUGUCUAGUCUGUCCAUUGUGAUUACAGUGAGAGGUAUCCCUACUGUCUAGUCUGUCCAUUGUGAUUACAGUGAGAGGUAUCCCUACUGUCUAGUCUGUCCAAAGUGAUUACAGUGAGAGUAUCCUACAGUCU